GACGAACGCUGGCGGCGUGGAUUAGGCAUGCAAGUCGAACGGUAGGAUACUUUCGGGUAUCUGAGAGUGGCGAACGGGUGAGUAACACGUAGGUGAUCUACCCUCAAGAUUGGGACAACCCAGGGAAACUUGGGCUAAUACCGGAUGAAAGCAGCAGUGAUGUUGUUUGAAAGGUGGCGUAAGCUGCCGUUUGGGGAUGAGCCUGCGCUCUAUUAGUUAGUUGGCGGGGUAAAGGCCCACCAAGGCGAUGAUAGAUAGGCGGCCUUAACGGGUGGUCGCCCACACUGGGAUUGAGAUACGGCCCAGACUCCUACGGGAGACAGCAGUCGAGAAUAGUCUACAAUGGCCGAAAGGCUGAUAGUGCGACGCCGCGUGAACGAAGAAGCCUCGGGUGUAAGUUCUUUAUAUGUGAGCAGUGCUUUUCAUGUUAACAGCAUGGGAGAGAGAUAUUAGCAUAUGAAUAAGCAACGGCUAACUCCGUGCCAGCAGCCG
rnacentral:rRNA from 1 species